rnacentral:rRNA from 1 species
CACCCAGGACGGUGGAUCACUCGGCUCGUGGUUCGAUGAAGAACGCAGCAAAUUGCGCGUCGACAUGUGAACUGCAGGACACAUGAACAUCGACGUUUCGAACGCACAUUGCGGUCCAUGGAUUCCGUUCCCGGGCCACGUCUGGCUGAGGGUCG